AAACUCAUUCCGAACUUUUAGAUAGUUAGGGACAGAACUAUUUUUUAACGUUGUCAGCAUUGCUUUAGCGCAAACAUAAAGGCCCGAAUAUUGAGCUGCACGGACAGAUUAAAAUAAUAAUAAUAAUAUUCGGAAUAAGGGAAUCUCGCAUAAUGGAUAUUUCUGGAGGAUCCCCGACAUUUACGCAGCUUUUACGCGAUUUACCUGAUCUGGAACAUGAUGGGGGUUCGCAGGAGCAAAAGUCUGGCAGACAAUCACCAACGGCCUUUUUUCGUUCCGACAUACAGCCCUUUAUGAUAAAGGAUGCGUUACGGACAGCUGACACGCAGGACUUUGAUGCAAUUCUACCGUUCACUGUGGCCCAAGUACACUGCUCAGAAUCAAGCCCACCCGAAAACUACUGUUGGGCCGGGAACUUGCUGCUUCACGAGCCGGCGCUCCAGGGACAAGACUGCCCGGAGACAGACCCAGCAGAAUCUGGAACGCUAGAGGGAAAAAGUCACACACCCCCGGUUUCGGCGAUUCGUCACAACAAGCGCCAAAAAAGCCGAGGUAUUUUAACUAUG